GAGGGUGAGAGCCCCGUCCAACUCACACAGGACAUACCCGCACGAGGGCGUUUCAGAUGAGUCGGGUAGCUUGGGAAUGCUGCUCUAAUCGGUGGUAAAUCUCAUCGAAGGCUAAAUAGCGGCUGGAGACCGAUAGCGAACAAGUACCGUGAGGGAAAGAUGACAAGCACUUUGAAAAGAGGGUGAAAAGAGCCUGAAACCGUCACGGGGGAAGCGGAUUGCGUUGGAUUGAUGGGCGCUUGUGUGUUCAGCCUUCGGGUGCAUUGGCACAAGUGCUUAUCCGCUGUGAGUUUUCGGGGGUCGAUUUUGGACCCCUGGGGACUGAGGGCUCCCUUUUUUAGGUGAGGACAGCGGAGUGACGACGCGAUACGACCCGUCUUGAAACACGGACCAAGGAGUCUAGCGCGGGUGCGAGUCGGAGGGUGCAAGCCCGUGGGCGAAGUGAAAGCGAGUUUUAAAAACGAGCAGUUUGGGGCGGCAUAAGAUCGUUGAUCUUAAGACCGACCCGGAGCAGUUGCGCUGGGACCCGAAAGAUGGUGAACUAUGCCGGAGUAGGGCAAAGCCAGAGGAAACUCUGGUGGAGGCUCGUAGCGGUGCUGACGUGCAAAUCGCUCGUCGAACUUGGGUAUAGGGGCGAAAGACUAAUCGAACCAUCUAGUAGCUGGUUCCCUCCGAAGUUUCUCUCAGGAUAGCGGGCCGACAAGUUGUUUUGUGCGGUAAAGCGAAUGAUUAGCGCAUUCGGGGGCGUUUAGCCUUUGGGCGAUUCUCAAACUUUCAAUGCGCAAGGGUGCCGCUGCUUAAUUGAGCGGUACCGGUAAAAACGUCGGCCCUGUGGGCCACUUUUGGUAAGCA
rnacentral:rRNA from 1 species